UACGUAGGUCCCGAGCGUUGUCCGGAUUUAUUGGGUUUAAAGGGUGCGCAGGCGGCACGGCAAGCCGGCGGUCAAAUCGCGGGGCUCAACCCCGCCCAGCCGUCGGAACUGCCGGGCUAGAGUGGGCGAGAAGUGCGCGGAAUGCGUGGUGUAGCGGUGAAAUGCAUAGAUAUCACGCAGAACUCCGAUUGCGAAGGCAGCGCACCGGCGCCCUACUGACGCUCAGGCACGAAAGCGUGUGUAUCGAACAGG
rnacentral:rRNA from 1 species